UACGGAGGAUGCAAGCGUUAUCCGGAAUUAUUGGGCGUAAAGCGUCCGCAGGUGGUUAUCCAAGUCUGCUGUUAAAGCGCGAGGCUUAACUUCGUACAGGCAGUGGAAACUGGGUGACUGGAGUAUGGUAGGGGUAGCGGGAAUUCCCAGUGUAGCGGUGAAAUGCGUGGAUAUUGGGAAGAACACCAGCGGCGAAAGCGCGCUACUGGGCCAUUACUGACACUCAUGGACGAAAGCUAGGGGAGCGAAAGGG
rnacentral:rRNA from 1 species